UGAUCAAACCCACAUCUUCAUGGAGACUAUUCAGAUUCAUUACCACUGAGCCACAGUGGGAAUUCUCCCCUUUUCUUUUUAUUAAGACUCAGAAAGAGCCUAGCUUUCUCGAGGCAUGGAAUAUUUACACUGUGUACCACCAGGUUCUUCACUGCCAGUCUAUAACAUGAGGAUGUUUUUGAUAUACCCCUCAUCUUUUCACCCCCCAUUUUUUAAAAAUUAAAAUAUAGUUGAUUUACAAUGUUCUGUCCAUUUCUGCUGCACAGCAAAGUGACCCAGUCAUACACAUACAUACAUUUUUUUUCAUGUUAUCUUCCAUCAUGUUCUACCACAAGUGAUUGGAUAGUUUGCUGUGCUAUAGAGCAGGACCCCAUGGCUUAUCCAUUCUAAGUGUAAUAGUUUGCACUUACUAAGCCCAAACUCCCAGUCCAUCCUACCCCCUCCGCCUCCCCCUUGGCAACAAGUCUGUUUUCUAUGUUUAUGAGUCUGUUUCUGUUCUGCAGAUAGGUUCAUUUCUGCCAUAUUUUAGAUUCCACAUAUAAGUGCUAUCAUAUGGUAUUUGUCUUUCUGACCCUAACUUGCUUCACUUAGUAUGAGAAGCUCUAAUUGCAUCCAUGUUGCUGCAAAUGAAAUUAUUUCAUUCUUUGUUAUGGCUGAAUUCACCUACCACUUUAAAAAAAAAAAAAAAACACUUUGUUUCAUCGGCAGUUGUCACUACUAUCUGCAGGGACUCCAAGGAUGAUCUCAGAUGAUUAUGUAAGUAUUGGAUUUAUUUAUAAGCAGGAAUGAUAUAGACAUCCUCGUGGCUAAACCCUGAACUGCAAUGAUUCCUCCUCUUCAAAAUCAACUUCAAGCUAAGUGUUUACUUCAGAAUCUCCUGGCACUAGAGAAAGCUGGAGAAUGAGGAAAGAAUACUCGGUUUAACGUGUUCUUAACUUUAACUUACAUAUAACUCAUUCCAGGCAAAGGUAUUUCUCAAGUCUGAACUUCUGCUAUGAGUCCCAAAAACUGCUUGGUUCACUGAAAAUAAGGCUCAGGAAAAUCAGUGAAAACCUGUAUUAUUAUAUUUUGGAAGUCAUCGUCAACAAACAGUGUCUAAAUGUAUGGAGACUGUUUUGGCAGCAAGGGAAAUUGGCAGUGAUUAGAAAAAUCUGGGAGAACAACAAGGUCCAACUGUACAGCACAAGGGACUAUAUUCAAUAUUCUGUGAUAAAUCAUAAUGGAAAAGAAUAUAUAUAUAUAUGUAUAUAUAUAUAUAUUCCAGCAUCACUUCGCUGUAGAGUGGAAAUCAACACAACAUUAUAAAUCAACUCUACUUCAAUUUAAAAAAAAAAACAUAAAAAGAAAAAUCUACGUGCAAGCAAGUUAUAGACAGACAGCUGCUAAGCUGUUUCUCUUUCCUGUUUGCUGUUUGGGGUGUGGCAAAUGGGAGUCCUGUUUUUUUAUGUUUAUACUUCUCCAUAAAAGUCUUUCAGGCACCAUGGGGGAUGGAGAGAAAGAGAAGAGAAAGAUGCGCUGAUGUAUUCUGAGAUAAACCAAAAGGCAAUGUCUGGAAAACAGAUUGAGGUGGUUAGGAAGGCCGAUGCCACUUCCCUCCACCCCCGAAUCUGUGCUAGCUGAAACAUGCGGCAAGGUGCAACCCAAAGAAGAGUGCACGAAGCCAAGCCUGGGCUGGUUAAGACAUGAAGCCAGAUGGCGGCUUCCAUCACCACCUCAACCCACCCCACCCCAUUACCAUUUGCAAGCACUUCUGAGAAGUCACUCCCUGGCUCCUCAGAGCAGAUGUAGAGUUGGUAUCCUCUGUGUAAAUUCUCACCUGUGUGCCCGCAUCUUCCUUCCUCUGGCCAAACCCAUUGCUGAGACUCAUAGGUGUGUCCUGAGUGUUUCACCCAAGCCUGCCUUGGAACCUGGGGUUUUCAUCCUUAAACCUAAAGAGGCAAGGAAGUUCCAGGAGGUGGAAUUUGUAUGGAACGAUAAUGGUAUGGUGCUUCCCAGUUUACAAACUCUUUCCAUAUCUGAGAUGGCAGUGACUCGAUUUGGUCACAACUGGUCACACCCGAGGACAGUCGCAUCAUGAUGCUGAUCAGGAGUUAUGAACAAAGAAAUUGAGUGUUUCACUUGACAUUGUAAUCACCCACUCUCAUGCACAGACAAGAAAACUGAGUCUCAAAAAGAGUAAGCCCUUUCCCCCUUGAUCUCAGGCUGCUAGAUGACCACAUGGGAACCAUAACCCAGUUAAGUUUAUUCCAAACCCAGUGGUCCUCCUCCUAUGCCAAAGAAAGAGAAAUGGAGGAGAAGGAGACUACAGGUAAUUUGAGCCAGACCUCUAAGGACAUGGAUGAAUUUCUCAUCUCCUGUUUAGAGAGGUUGGGGUUUCAUCCACAGCAUGAAUCUAGUAAGCAUCUAGAGAGGUCAGCUGGAGGAUUUCAGGGGCUACAAGGAGAGGGGCUUCUUAGAGUGUGAGCUUUCUUCAGAAAGUCAGAUUAUUGGCUUGGAAAAGAUGAUGUGAAGCAAUGGAGUAAUUGUAAAAAUGUAAAGCAGAAUUUGGGAUGAAAGGACUCACAAGGUUGAGAGUUGAAGGUAGGGCUUAGGGGUUACAAUAUGCAAGGGUAAGAAGGAGGAGGGGCCCAAGGACUCAGGGGACUUCUAAGGGUCAGAAGUUAAGGUGCUUGGAGAAAAACCAUAGCUGAGCUAGAACAAAAGCUUCAUACUAAAAGGCAGACCAAGUGACUCUGGUGGAGAAAAAGCACCAUCUUGAAUCAAUGUGUCUAUGGUAAAGCCAUGAUGCACUAUGACAUGCUCUGUAGUCUGACCCUCUCUCCUAGGUAUCUAGGAAAGGUAAAGUGCUACAAGCUACAGCGGUUCUUGAGAGAAUGACAGCAAAUGCCCGCCUUAGCUCCUGAAAGUUGGGCUUGAGAUGCUUGCGCCAGAGUACGUGACAUUUUCCUAUCCUUCAUGUCACCCUAGAGCCCUUUUGCAGAUUUCACAAGAGGUCUUUUGUGUGUACCUAAAUCAAUCCAGAGAGACAAUGAAAUGGCAAGUUCACUGGAAGAAAGCUAGCAGACAGAGGAUGAGUCCUAGCUUUGCCAACAACUGUGUGAACUUAGACAAAUCAUUCACACCUCCUGGGUUUCACUCUCCCCAUUCGAAAAUGAAAAGGUAACACAGAUUCUA
rnacentral:lncRNA from 1 species